GCCGUCACCAAUUGGCUUUGACGGCCGAGCCACGCCAUAGAGACAGAGCACCAAUGGGAGCGACUCUAACGCCCCGGAGGAGGAAGAAGAGAUAGUGUGACUUGCCCUCAGUGGACCAGUUCAUAUAACUAAAUGCAGUCAAUCAAUAAGCUUUAAGUGCCCUUCUAUGUGCCUGUCAUGAAGGGUUAAACUCUGGGAAUACAAAGCCUGAAGAAGAUAGAGCUUUUGACAAGAGCUUGCGAGGAAAAACAUAGUUUGAUCUUGUGGAUUCUAGCUUGCAGAAAGAAGACAACGGGUUUCAGAAUCUCUUUAAGUCUCUGAAAAAACAAUGUCUUGGGGAAGAAGCUGACAUCUUAAGAAACAAACUCUUCAAUCAUGUCCCUAUCCCCUUGCUACUGUAGAGACUUAGGGGAAUUUCCUUUGGAUAAGAUCAGAGACUCUCUUGAUUGAGCCAAAAUGUCUUGCUCCCAAUAAAAGAACUGUACUCCGUGUG